rnacentral:rRNA from 1 species
GACGAACGCUGGCGGCGUGCUUAACACAUGCAAGUCGAGCGGUAAGGCUCCUUCGGGAGUACACGAGCGGCGAACGGGUGAGUAACACGUGAGCAAUCUGCCCUCCACACUGGGAUAACUCCCGGAAACGGGUGCUAAUACCGGAUACGACCACCUCAGGCAUCUGAUGGUGGUGGAAAGUUCUGGCGGUGGAGGAUGAGCUCGCGGCCUAUCAGCUAGUUGGUGAGGUAAUGGCUCACCAAGGCUUCGACGGGUAGCCGGCCUGAGAGGGUGACCGGCCACACUGGGACUGAGACACGGCCCAGACUCCUACGGGUGGCUG